rnacentral:rRNA from 1 species
CAAAAACAUGUCCUUUAGGAUUAUUUAUUUAAGGUCUAGCCUGCCCAAUGAUUGUAAUUUAAUGGCCGCAGAAUUUUAACUGUGCAAAGGUAGCAUAAUCACUUGUCUUUUAAUUAAGGGCUCGUAUGAACGGCUGGACGAAAUACUGUCUUUCUUUGAUUCAAUAAUUGGAAUUUAAUUUUUUAGUCAAAAAGCUAAAAUUUAUUAAUGGGACGAGAAGACCCUAUAGAUCUUUACUUUGAAUUCAAUAAGUCAAUUUGGGUGUAAAGUUGGUCCUAUUGGACUAGAAGUUUGGUUGGGGUGACUAUAGAAUUUAAUUAACUUCUGUUUUAUUUUUCAUGAAUUAGUGAUUUGAUGAUCCAAUUGUAUUGAUUAUAAGAUUAAGUUACCUUAGGGAUAACAGCGUAAUUUCUUUGGAUAGUUCUUAUUGAUAAAGAAGUUUGCGACCUCGAUGUUGGAUUAAAAUAAGCAGUGGGCGCAGUAGCUCAUAUACUAGGUCUGUUCGACCUUUAAUUUUUUACAUGAUCUGAGUU